GAUUUGCACGGUUGCAGCAACAAUGCACCCGGUAAAAUCAGUUUAAAGCAGGCAGGGUUUCUUUGGCUCACAGACCCAGGCCUUGUAUAUGAAGCGUCCUCCCCUUCCCCAGGGCUUAAGUCCUAAAACCAGUGCUCCGUGCUGAAGGAUUCCAUGAAUCCCGGUUGGAUUUGGAAGCUUUGAGUGACCCAGACACAUUGUUCCUCUUCCUCCUGCUCACAGGUACGGCCAGGCUUCUGCCAGUGCUCAAGAGACUCAGAAAAGUCCAGCUUGGCAUCAAGCACCGAGAAAAGACGUUAAAACAAACCACGUGUCCCCUUCCUUCCUGGCCACAAUCUGCCUGAUGGCUGUCAAACCUUCCAGGAUACUCAAAGGCUGGCGCUUGCCUGCUGGGUUGCUGUCUUCCUCCUUCGCUUAUGCUUCCUACCAGGCUCCUAAGAAAUCUAGUGUCCGUGUCUGAGCUCAUUCCACCACGGGGCUCCUUUGACCAGCACCUGUUGAUGGCGUUUUAUUUUGAACAGAUCUUGGUUUUUAAAGUCCCAGAUUCUGAGACUUCUUCACUCGCUGAUAGAUGCUCCUGACACCAUGCCUGCAGCUUGAGCCUGUGCCUCCCUGCUCUGGUGGACUCAUCCCUCUGGAAGUGCCGAAUUCGAGGACUAAAAGUCUGAGGGGUUGAACUGUGUCACCAGCCAGAUCCAGCCACAGAAUAG
ensembl:antisense Gm15318 predicted gene 15318